CAAGCUUGCUUUCUAGGAAGGAAAUUAAGAAAACCAAAACCAAAACCAAAACCAAAACGCCACCGCACACUUUAGUGCAGGAGAGCCGCUACCUCAGAGAAGCCCUCAUCUGUCAUUAGCUGUGUGCCACUAAACGAGUUACCCAGAGCUCUGUGGCUUAGUUGCCUCGUGUCUGAAAUGCUUCCCCAGGUUGCAGACUAUGGACAGGGUACUAUGGACAGCUGACUCGUGGUUUGAUGAAUCAACUCUCGUCUGCUAGCAUCUGUGACAGUGUAACAUCAAAGAGAAUGUACUACAAAGCUAGAAAUGCUAAUUUCUUCUCUUCAAUCAUUAGUUU